rnacentral:rRNA from 1 species
CAAUAGCGUAUAUUUAAGUUGUUGCAGUUAAAAAGCUCGUAGUUGGAUUUCGGGUGGGACGCAGCGGUCUCGCAUUGCGUUUGUACUGCUGCAGCCCUCCUUCUUGCCGGGGGCGGCCUCUCGGACUUCACUGUCUGGGGGUCAGAAUCGGCGAUGUUACUUUGAGUAAAUUAGAGUGUUCAAAGCAAGCUUACGCUCUGAAUAUAAUAGCAUGGGAUAACACGACAGGACUCUGGCCUAUCGUGUUGGUCUAUAGGACCAGAGUAAUGAUUAAGAGGGACAGUCGGGGGCAUUCGUAUUCCGUUGUCAGAGGUGAAAUUCUUGGAUUUACGGAAGACGAACAUCUGCGAAAGCAUUUGCCAAGGAUGUUUUUAUUGA